ensembl:lncRNA
GCGAGGGGUGGGGCCGCCGUAGGGACCCGGACCCGGGGUCGCCAGCCCGGGUGGGCCGGGUCACGUGGGCCGGCGGGCGGCAGAGCGCCGGGGGCGGGGCGGCGAGGGGCAACUGGAGGCCAUUUUGGGGGCGUAGUGGCCGCCCGUGACCGCCCCCGCCCGGGCCCCGGCCCCCGCCCCGCGAGCCGCCCGCCGGAGCAUCUUCUCGCCUGAGCAGAAAACAUCUCUCCGGUCCUCCGAUGUCAGAGCCUCCUCCACCUCGGGUCGUCUCCUUUUCCCCAGCCUGAGCCAGAACCCCAAUCUAGGAUUCUCUGUCCCCUGGCCUCCACUGGGUUGAAGAGGAAUCUUAAAUGGAGCUGACAGUCUGCUGCGUCGCAGAAGCUCGUUUGCUUCCCCUCCCCCAUCCUUGGGAAGCUAGGUGUGGGUCCUGGAGGAUAAAGUCCACCUACCAGUUCCUUAGCUAGGCUGCAAAGUCUCAGCAUUCCAAGGGAACCUUUAUAUACAGAUUAGAGUCAUCAAACCGGCCCUUGCCCUGGGGAGGAACAGCAAAAAAGGUGUGGGGCUGGCUCCGAAGAGGAGGGUCCCUCCAGGACCACAUUGUCUCCAGACCACUGGAGAGGUUUUUUAAAGAGUUGGUUUUUUGUUUUUUGUUUUUGAAAUGUGAGAUUGAAUUGACCCAAAUAUUGGAAAAGUGGAAACAACUAAACUCUCCUGGGUAACAGCUUAAUAAUUAGGAUACUUAGUGUAUUUGUAGUAAAUACAGAGUUAGGGUAGUAAAAGAGACACCCCACCCCAGCACUGUCAACACAGAUUACAAGGAAAAACCCAGAGGCCUCUGAGUCACCAUCUUUGUCGUCUGUUCCUGAAGGAAGCACUCUGACUCAGAGGGACACCAUCAUCAGGCGCUGGUGGCAAAGGUGACAGAUGCUGAGGCCUUUUUCCAGAGUUUGUUACCUAAUCAAAGUGGGUUCAACUCCAGGCGAGUUAAAUCAGACUCUCCACCAGAAGUAGUUUCUUACAAAGUAAAGUAUAUUUGUGGCAAAUAGGAGACCAUGGGAAUCAUUUCCACAGUCGUGGUGUCCCUGAACAAAGGGGAGCGGGGACUUUUUAUUUCAGAUGGGGAGUGAAUAUUCAAAAGGGAGCGGUGGGUAUUCACUUGCACAGGCUCAGUUGGAAAACCUGCUUCCACAUACACUGCAGGUUAUGGGAGCAAAGCCUAAGCUCCUCCUGGAGAGAUCUUAGCAUUAAAAAUAGGGCAAAGGUCAUAGACCUAGCUUUUGUGGUGAGGUUUGGCCUGGUUCAGGGUGGUUGGUGAUUGCAUCUCCUUAACAUAACAAAAGGAGAAAAACAAGUUGGAAAAACAGUUAAAUGCUUCCAAAGCCACCCUUGAGUUCUUUGGGGCAACUAUUCAGUGACAUUUGUUGUCCCUCUCCUUAAGAAAUGUUACAAUUUGGCAAAAUUGGCCAGUUUAUAAAUAUGGCAAAGGUAGAAAAUUAGAGCAAAUAUAAUAUCCAGAAAGAAGAAAUAAAUUACAUUGGUAUAUAUUCAAGAGGAUAAUUUUGCUUUUGUGAAAUGGUGUAAAAGAGAAAGUUCUAGGUAAAUUGGAAAAGGUUUCAUCAAAGAAGUGAAUUUGGAGCCGAAUUCCUGUCCCACAAUUCUUUUGUGUGUGUGUGUGUCUGUGAGGAUGGUUGGUCCUGAGCUAACAUCUGCUGCCAAUUCUCCUCUUUUUGCUUGAGGAGGAUUGUCCCUGACCUAACACCUGUGCCAUUCUUCUUCUAUUUUGUAUGUGGGACACCACCACAG